rnacentral:tRNA from 1 species
UGCACGUUGGCCGGCUCGGCCGGGUACAGGGCCAUGGAAGCCUUGAUGCCGGUGGCCUCCGCUGGCGGUACCUGGUUCGGUCCCACCGCCUCCAG